CACGCAGGCGGUCUGUCAAGUCGGAUGUGAAAUCCCCGGGCUCAACCUGGGAACUGCAUUCGAAACUGGCAGGCUAGAGUCUUGUAGAGGGGGGUAGAAUUCCAGGUGUAGCGGUGAAAUGCGUAGAGAUCUGGAGGAAUACCGGUGGCGAAGGCGGCCCCCUGGACAAAGGCUGACGCUCAGGUGCGAAAGCGUGGGGAGCAAACA
rnacentral:rRNA from 1 species